UAUUGUAAUUAAUGUCUUUAUUUCAGGUGCAGUAUAAAAUAUGGUCUACUUAAGUGGUAAAAAUGAAAUACUGCAGAAAUGGAAAUACAGAUAUGAAUACUGAAGAUUUUUGUUAAUGCUAAUGCAUUUAUGUUAUAGUUUAACACUGCAAUAAGUAUCUAUUAGAACAAGAGGCUUUAACUAACAUUGGAUUAGAUAAUAGGAAAUGUACUGAUAUUUUUUAAGAUGAACAUAGAAAAUGAUAUUCAUAA
rnacentral:lncRNA from 1 species